UCCUGGUUAACCCAGGCAGUCUCAUUAGAGUUCCCACCUUAAAUGUUGGCAACUAAUGAUAAGGGUUGCGCUCGUUGCGGGACUUAACCCAACACCUCACGGCACGAGCUGACGACAGCCAUGCAGCACCUGUGCAGACGUCCCGAAGGAAAAUACUAUUUCUAGUAUCGUCGUCUGCAUGUCAAGUCUGGGUAAGGUUCUUCGCGUUGCAUCGAAUUAAACCACAUGCUCCACUGCUUGUGCGGGUCCCCGUCAAUUCUUUUGAGUUUCACCCUUGCGAGCGUACUCCCCAGGCGGUAUACUUAUCGCGUUAGCUCCGGCACAAUUGGGGUUGAGUCCAAUUACACCAAGUAUACAUAGUUUACGGCAAGGACUAC
rnacentral:misc_RNA from 1 species